rnacentral:rRNA from 2 species
AUACAACUUUCAACAACGGAUCUCUUGGCUCUCGCAUCGAUGAAGAACGCAGCGAAAUGCGAUAAGUAAUGUGAAUUGCAGAAUUCAGUGAAUCAUCGAAUCUUUGAACGCACCUUGCGCUCCUUGGUAUUCCGAGGAGCAUGCCUGUUUGAG